GAUGAACGCUGGCGGCGUGCCUAAUACAUGCAAGUCGAGCGAACGGACGAGAAGCUUGCUGCGCUGAUGUUAGCGGCGGACGGGUGAGUAACACGUGGAUAACCUACCUAUAAGACUGGGAUAACUUCGGGAAACCGGAGCUAAUACCGGAGAAUAUUUUGAACCGCAGGGGGCAAAAGUGAAAGACGGUCUUGCUGUCACGUAUAGAGGGAUACGCGCUGCAUUAGCUAGUUGUUAAGGUAACGGCUUACCAAGGCAACGAGGCAUAGCCGCCCUGAGAGGGUGAUCGGCCACCCUGGAACUGAGACACGCCCCAGACUCCUACGGGAGGCAGCAGUAGGGAAUCUUCCGCAAUGGGCGAAAGCCUUACGGAGCAACGCCGCGUGAGUUAUGACGGUCUUCGGAUCGUAAAACUCUGUUACUAGGGAAGAACAUAUGUGUAAGUAACUGUGCACAUCUUGACGGUAACUAAUCAGAAAGCCCCGGCUAACUACGUG
rnacentral:rRNA from 1 species